rnacentral:rRNA from 1 species
AUUGAACGCUGGCGGCAGGCCUAACGCAUGCGAGUCGAGCGGAUGAAGGGAGCUUGCUCCUGGAUUCAGCGGCGGACGGGUGAGUAAUGCCUAGGAAUCUGCCUGGUAGUGGGGGAUAACGUCCGGAAACGGGCGCUAAUACCGCAUACGUCCUGAGGGAGAAAGUGGGGGAUCUUCGGACCUCACGCUAUCAGAUGAGCCUAGGUCGGAUUAGCUAGUUGGUGGGGUAAAGGCCUACCAAGGCGACGAUCCGUAACUGGUCUGAGAGGAUGAUCAGUCACACUGGAACUGAGACACGGUCCAGACUCCUACGGGAGGCAGCAGUGGGGAAUAUUGGACAAUGGGCGAAAGCCUGAUCCAGCCAUGCCGCGUGUGUGAAGAAGGUCUUCGGAUUGUAAAGCACUUUAAGUUGGGAGGAAGGGCAGUAAGUUAAUACCUUGCUGUUUUGACGUUACCAACAGAAUAAGCACCGGCUAACUUCGUG